AGAUGAACGCUGGCGGCAGGCCUAACACAUGCAAGUCGAGCGGCAGCGGGAAGUAGCUUGCUACUUUGCCGGCGAGCGGCGGACGGGUGAGUAAUGUCUGGGAAACUGCCUGAUGGAGGGGGAUAACUACUGGAAACGGUAGCUAAUACCGCAUGACCUCGCAAGAGCAAAGUGGGGGACCUUCGGGCCUCACGCCAUCGGAUGUGCCCAGAUGGGAUUAGCUAGUAGGUGAGGUAAUGGCUCACCUAGGCGACGAUCCCUAGCUGGUCUGAGAGGAUGACCAGCCACACUGGAACUGAGACACGGUCCAGACUCCUACGGGAGGCAGCAGUGGGGAAUAUUGCACAAUGGGCGCAAGCCUGAUGCAGCCAUGCCGCGUGUGUGAAGAAGGCCUUAGGGUUGUAAAGCACUUUCAGCGAGGAGGAAGGGUUCAGUGUUAAUAGCACUGUUCAUUGACGUUACUCGCAGAAGAAGCACCGG
rnacentral:rRNA from 1 species